GAUGAAGAACGUAGCGAAAUGCGAUAAGUAAUGUGAAUUGCAGAAUUCAGUGAAUCAUCGAAUCUUUGAACGCACCUUGCGCUCCUUGGUAUUCCGAGGAGCAUGCCUGUUUGAGUGUCUUGAAGUCAUCAACCCCGCACGUUUCUUGCGAGCGUGCGGCGGUUGGAUCUGGGGGCUCUGCCGCUCUCCGAGCCGGCUCCCCUCAAAUGCUUCGGUUGGGCCUGCGGGUCGAACUCGACUGGGCGUUGUACCAUCCUCGCUCGAACGAGACGGGACCCCCUACCGUGCCGAACCUCGACCUGCCUCGCAGUGGGCGGUCAAAUCAAGCCUUUGAAAUCUGACCUCAAAUCAGGUAGGACUACCCGCUGAACUUAAGCAUAUCAAUAGCGGAGGA
rnacentral:misc_RNA from 1 species